rnacentral:lncRNA from 1 species
CAUUUCUACCUUUCCUCUUGAGAUUUGCUGUUAGAUAUUAGAACUUCUCUUUGUCACAUACUUACAGGGAGAUUUUGAUUAUCCAUGGGAUUCCAUUCAUAACCUCAUAAACCACCCCCACGAAGAAAUUAUAUAUCUCGGAGCAAUUAUAUAGUAUCUUAAAAGUGUUUGGACACGUGGAUCAUUUUGGAACAUACACCAAGAAAAUAAUCAGUGGUACACAUAAAAAGGUGACAUGGUUUUCUGGUGCCUUGGCAACUGCUCACGAUGCAUGGGAAGACUAAACACUUUGUGUACAGCAUUCUGUCUCAUCCAGUGAAGACUUCCUCUGGAUUAUUGCAGCAGACACCUCUAACCUCCUUAAUCUGUAUGAGAGCACCCACGCUUCCUCCAACUCCUGCCGCAGAGCUGCGUUUCCUCAGUACUGCUGUCCGCUUCCAGCCCCGCUCCGACGCAUCUGACGUCAUUUCCUCGUCUUGUCUCUGGACCUGGUUCUCCCAAGGCCUCAGUCCCUGUGUCCAUGGUCCCUCUGUUCCUGGGCUCCCUGGAGUCCAUUGGGAAUCCGAGUCCUCGCCUUCCCAUCAUCUGCCUCUGGAAUGACCCUUGGGUUUGUCUUUCGCUCUCUCUCCGUUCUGCCACCUUCCCGGUGCUUUAAUCAGGCAUCAGUCUUGUAGCUGUAGCCAGGACCCACCAAGCCACUCCAUUCUCUUCUCAGCUCCCGGAGUGUGAUGGUUAAUAUUGACUGUCAGCUUGAUGAAAUUGAAGGAUGCAAAGUAUUGUUCCUGGUGUGACUGUGAGGGUGUUGCCAAAGGAGAUUCACAUUUGAGUCAGUGGGCUGGGAGAGGCAGACCCACCCUCAAUCUGGGUGGGCACCAUCUAAUCAGCUGCCAGCAUGGCUGGAAUAAAAGCAGGCAGAAGAACAUGGAAAGACUAGACUGGCUUAGUCUUUUGGCCUCCAUCUUUCUCCCGUGGCUUCCGUGCUCCUCAGCUUGCAGAUGACCUGCUGUGGGACCUCAUCUUGUGAUCGUGUGAGUCAAUUCUCCUUAAUAAACUCCCCUUUAUACAUAAAUCUAUCCUAUUAGUUCUGUCCCUCUAGAGAACCCUGACUAGUACACAGAGCAAUCCUGGAAAUAGCCUCACUGCCUCACCACUCCCCCUGGGAGACUUUUCUUUACUUCCCUCUUUGACUUGCACUCUCCCCACUGGGCCAAGCAGGCUUCCCACUACCGGGGCUCCUGUGCUACCCCAGGGACACUCAGGGUCUCACCCCUUAAGCCCGUGCCUCUCAUUGUCCCUGCUCAUCCCCACCUGGGCUGCCCAGCUUCUCCCACUCCUGCCUCGUGUUCUUUCAAAUCCCUGAUCAAGUUUGGCUUCUGAAAUGGACCCUUCUUCAGUCCCCUGGGCCCACUCAGCCUUCCUUCCUCCCGGUGUUCAGGGGACUGAAUUAGCCACAGUUUAACCUUUUGUUGGCCUUUGUUUCACAUCUAUUCAUUAUUUUAGAAAUGUUGUGUUGUCGUGUGAAAUAAUGCAUCUACAGGCUAAAAAUUAAAAGACAGUGUAAAAAAUAUGCGGUGAAAAGUGAGUCUCCCUCUGCCUGAACAUCCAGUGCCCAUUCCCGGGGCUGACAUGCACUGUUCCUUAUGUGCCCUUACAGAAAAUGGCCAUGUGUGAAGUCACUAUGCAUAUUCUAUUUUUAGUUUGUUACUAAAGCACACAGCAGCUUACAAUGCAAUUUUUUUCUAUACCUUGUUUUUCUCUCUAGAAUAUUAAAAUAUUGCUUGGAAAAUAUACAUACUUUGGAAUUAUUUUCACAUGAACAUAUAGCUACUUCACCUGUUUUCACAUCUGUGCAGCAUUUCAUUGUAUAGAUCAAUCUGAAUUUAUUGAGUGGAUUAUUGACUGUUGUUUCCAGUUAUUAGCUAGAAUCAUCAGUGCCUCCAAUGAACACCAGCAUGUGUGUAUGUGUGCCUAUAUGUGUGCAUACAUGUAUUUGUGUAUCCCUAUGAGAAUAUCUGUAGGAUAAAUGCAUUAUAAAGUAACCACUGAGUCAAAGAA